rnacentral:tRNA from 1 species
GCCACCAUGGUGUAGUUGGUUAUCACGUUCGCUCCACAUGCGAAAGGUCUCCAGUUCGAACCUGGAUGGUGGUA